AAGCUUGUAAAAAUGGCAACUAAAAUACCGUAACGCGGAUAAUUUUACGAUUAUUUUAUCAAUAUAUCCCACUUACUACCUGCCCUACAAAACACGAAGAAAGAUAGUGUCCAGGCACCAGUUAUCAAUCGCGGCUGUUGCUUGCCCCACAAAACACGAAGAAAGAUGGGCCCAAACAACAGUUUCAAAAUUAAAUAAAACGGAACGGGACGGAACGAUAUCAAUAGCAACGGAUUUGAUAAAGAUCUUAAUACGCGAGCUUGGAAGCGGCCGGUCAAAUGUCAACAGGUGGCUCUUACCUAACGCAAUUCACACUGUCAACGUCAAAACAAAGUUUUAAUGUAAAUAUUGAAAAUUUAACGGUAUUGAAAUACGGAGAAAAUACUGGUACUUCGCUCCAAAGGUAUGGUACGACCUUACUGCGACGAAUGUGUAUCCUUGGUGGACCUGGAACCUUUUUAUACCCAUCGCAGGAAUUUGGAUGCCGACGACUCACGAACAUCCUCGGAACCAAUCGUUGGAUAAAAAUGCAAUUGGGAAAACUUAAUGAAAAUAGAGUUUUUCCUCACGAAAACGCUCUCAAAACCGGGUAUUUCCACCGGCUUUUCAGGAAAACCGCGGGAAACUGAAUCUUGAUUUAUAUUAUAUUUUGCCACACCGGGCAUGCCCCUUCAUUUAACAGGGCUUCCCAAGUUUUAGGCAUUUGUGGUUCUUUAUUGUCCUAAGAAUAACCAGGGCUAAAAACAAUAAGGCCAGAGACUACAACAUAGUCAACGGAGAACUAGGCAUAACUUAUAAGAAAUUAAACCUUUCCAGGAUACUAUCAGGCUAGAAACCUCUUUAAGUUGGUUUCUUUAUAUAUGUUUACAAUUAUAAACCCCUCAUGACUCACAGGUAAAGCUUAAAAUGUAUCUUUUUGUUAUGUGAAUUAUAAAUUUAGAGGUUAAAAUGUUAACGGAGUACAAUUAUCUAAGUUGUCUUAUAAAAGACUGCAUGGGCUUACCCUUAUUACUAUAAAAUAAAGACAAAAUCUUGUAACUUCGUUACAAUUCUUUAUAGAGUAUCUUAUGAUAUUUUAUGAAAAAAAAAUGAUUGUUAUUUUAUUACAGAAGAAUAGUAUUAUUUUGCUCCUGUCAAAAUAAGUGACACAUUUUUAUGAUAUUAUAAAGUGUUUUUUUGCCAUUUCUACAUAAGCAUUAAGCAUCAUUGUGUCGGAGAUGUUACAAGCAAAUAAAUUUUCAAUGUUC